rnacentral:rRNA from 1 species
UACAGAGGUCUCAAGCGUUGUUCGGAUUCAUUGGGCGUAAAGGGUGCGUAGGCGGCGCGGUAAGUCGGGUGUGAAAUCUCGGAGCUUAACUCCGAAACUGCAUUCGAUACUGCCGUGCUUGAGGACUGGGAGAGGAGACGUGGAAUUUACGGUGAGCGGUGAAAUGCGUAGAUAUCGUAAGGGAAGACCAGUGGCGAAGGCGGGUCUCUGGACAGUUCCUGACGCUGAGG